CCUACGGGAGGCAGCAGUAGUGAAUAUUGCUCAAUGGGGGAAACCCUGAAGCAGCAACGCCGCGUGGAGGAUGAAGGUUUUCGGAUUGUAAACUCCUUUUGUUAGAGACGAUAAUGACGGUAUCUAACGAAUAAGCACCGGCUAACUCCGGGCCAGCAGCCGCGGUAAUACGGAGGGUGCAAGCGUUACUCGGAAUCACUGGGCGUAAAGAGCGCGUAGGCGGGAUAGCAAGUCAGAUGUGAAAUCCUAUGGGUUAACCAUAGAACUGCAUUUGAAACUGUUAUUCUAGAGUAUGGGAGAGGUAGGUGGAAUGCUUGGUGUAGGGGUAAAAUCCGUAGAGAUCAAGAAGAAUACUCAUUGCGAAGGCGACCUGCUAGAACAUAACUGACGCUGAUGCGCGAAAGCGUGGGGAGCAAACAGGAUUAGAUACCCCUGUAGUC
rnacentral:rRNA from 1 species